GACAACAGGGUGGAUGCUGAUGCCCUGGGGUCCACACUGAGAGGUUCAGGCUGAGGGGUCAUGUCCAAGUGACCCAGACCCCAAAAGCACCAGGUCCUCCUGCAGUUUCUGGGGACACAGCCACGCUCCACCCAGUUUCCUACAAGUGAAUGUUUGGCAACUGCACUAUUGGAGCACGACCAUCAGUACACUACCCAACAGGCUGCGAUCCAGCUUCAGAGCCCAUUCUCAGCCUGCUUGCUAGGACCAUGAUCUUAAGUUGAGUUCCCUAGAAACAGACUCUGCAAUAAAGUCUCUUACGUAAGUAA